CUGAACUUGCUAAAGAUGUGCUUGCGGUUCAAGUUUCUUCUGUUGCUUCUGAAUCGGCGUUUAGCACUAGUGGGAGAAUUUUGGAUCCUUAUAGGAGUUCUUUGACUCCUUAUAUGAUCGAGGCUUUGAUAUGCACACAACAAUGGAUGCGGUCUUCAAAUCAGUCUCAGCCAGCAGUUGCAAACUUGGCUCAAAUGUUGGAAGAAGUUGACUUUUUUGAGUCAUUGGAUUCUCGGAACUCACAGGCAUGACCAAGUGAGGUUUAGGUACGUGAAGGUGAAGCUAAGGAAGUUGUGAAGAAAUGGAGAUGUUCGUUUUUGGUUUUAAGAGAAACAAAUGGGGUUUGUUUUUGGUGUGAAGAGAAAGAGAUGGUGUUUGUUUUUGGUCUCAACCUCUUCAAUCUCAUUUUAAAAUUAUGAAGUUGUAUGAACAAUGUUUUUGUUUUUGCUCUCUGUGGUUUCUGUCAAAAAACUUUAUUUUAUUAUCACACUAUGGAUGGCUGAGACCAAAAACAUUAUGGAUCGUUCA